rnacentral:tRNA from 9 species
UGGGGUAUCGCCAAGCGGUAAGGCACCGGUUUUUUGAUACCGGCAUUCCCUGGUUCGAAUCCAGGUACCCCAGCCA